rnacentral:lncRNA from 1 species
AGACGCAGUUUGGCGGCUGUGGGGAUUUGCCGGAAGGUUAAUAAUGUCCAUGGGCACAUCGGCCUCCUCCUUUCUUAUUCUCUCCCAAGUGUAAUUCCAGGACGCCCCCUGAGCGCAGAUUCAUCCAGGCAUUUGGCCUAGAGGCCCGCGGAGGAGAAAUAAAGUACAGGCCUGGUAGGACCUUUGAGAACCUGGGCUUCAGCUACAAAACCAGAGCCCCAGUCCUUCAUCUGCUGUCUCCUCAAGCUCUUUUCAGUGUAUUGUGGAGUUCAUUACCACUCUAAGCUCGCACGGAAGUGUACACCAGCUUCGUGAUCUUAAAAGCAAAACAAAAUCAAAUGGACUAGGAAUUAACUUGAAGCAGAGUUGUGACACUUAAGUGGUUUCUUGCCAUCAGUUUCCACGCACUGCUUUAAGAUGCAAUUUUACAAGGUCUUCCUAUUCCCUGAGACACAACAAUAUUGAAAUAGGGCCAAUUAAUAACCCUACAAUGGUCUGUAAUUGUGCAAGUGGAAGAAAGAAUCGUGUGCCUCUCGCUUUAAAUCAAAAGCUAGAAAUGAUUAAGCUGAC